GACGAACGCUGGCGGCGUGCUUAACACAUGCAAGUCGAACGGUAAGGCCCUUCGGGGUACACGAGUGGCGAACGGGUGAGUAACACGUGGGUGAUCUGCCCUGCACUUCGGGAUAAGCCUGGGAAACUGGGUCUAAUACCGGAUAGGACCACUGCCUGCAUGGGGGGUGGUGGAAAGCUUUUGCGGUGUGGGAUGGGCCCGCGGCCGAUCAGCUUGGUGGUGGGGUGAUGGCCUACCAAGGCGACGACGGGUAGCCGGCCUGGGAGGGUGACCGGCCACACUGGGACUGAGUUACGGCCCAGACUCCUACGGGAGGCAGCAGUGGGGAAUAUUGCACAAUGGGCGCAAGCCUGAUGCAGCGACGCCGCGUGAGGGAUGACGGCCUUCGGGUUGUAAACCUCUUUCAGCAUCGACGAAGCGCAAGUGACGGUAGGUGCAGAAGAAGGACCGGCCAACUACGUGCCAGCCGCCGCGGUAA
rnacentral:rRNA from 1 species